CAUUCCUUUCAUUUCUAAUAUUUUUUAACUUGCUGAUGAACUCUUUCUUUCCUCUCUAAGAAUGAGUUGACCGUGAGUUGAAAAUUUGAGAACAUGAGUUCACUGACAAAUUAGAAGCGAAAAGAUGAAAGUAAUAGUUAUAUCAUUUUGUUGACGGUAAUAUUAAAUUAUAAGAUACGAAGAUAAAAAUAAAAAAUAUUUUUAACAUUCAUUUGAAGAAAUUUUUUAUAGAAGUUGCAAGAUUCAAUGUUGUUGUUCCUUGGCUAUAUGAUCAAUGGCAGCUUCGUCUACCAAGCAAACCCAGAUCAAGCAUACAACCACACUACAACCGUUGCAUUAACUCCACAAGCUGCAAUAACAUCUUAAAAAGCUUAUAACAGAAGAAAAGGAAAGAAAGAGAUAGGAUAAAGCUUGUACUGAGAAUACGUGGAUCACGAAGCCUCACAGUAGGAAGAAGAGUCAAUGCUGUCAAUAUUUUCAAACAAUGUGUGCAUUCACUUCAAUUCCACCCAAAAAUCAAUUACAAAAGCCUAACUAUACCGAUCGUACGAGAUUAACCCAUGAUGUCAUAAAAAAGCAAAACAUUAUUAACUCCUAACAAAACGAAGGACGAAACAAAAAACUAAGGAUCAUCAGGUUCAGAGGUAGCUCGAGCAAUGUUCUCUUGAUCGGCAGAAGGAGAAAGUCUUUGAUCUUCGGCAUGCUCCUCCGCCUGCAGAUCCCGCAUGUGUAUCAACUUCCCCUUGUGAAGCAUUAUUAUUGCCCAUGCAGAGGUCGGUUCCAAAAACACCGUCUGCGGUCCCGGCGACCUCGUUUGGGAAAGUGGGCAAAAGGGGAGGGCUCACGAUGUCUCUAUUUGCCUUUCUUCCUCCGAGUGGCAUCCUCACGAUCGGAAGUGAAUACAGUAGUGGUGGUGGGAGGGAUGUUGAGAACCUGGACUGGAUUAGCAGCCGCCUCGCCAGCAACCCCGGUCGACACGCCUUCCGCGGUACGCCGCCUCAAUGGGUCAUCCCAGAGCCGCUCACUCCAGCCUUUCCCGCCUGCUGCUUCGCCUGGUGUUUCUCCAGCAACUUUCUCAUGAAAUGAACAUCCUUUGGCGUUGUGCGGGCCAUGGUAUCAGUAUACUUACCACCAUUAAGCACAGCUUGUCGAAAAGUGCAUUGGCCAGAUUCAUCAAGCAAAAUGCCAAAAUGAGAGAAUGAAGAAAUAGAUAUUCAACCAGCAAGGGUGAUGAACAAAAAGUUUGAUUCUGUCAUCACUUUUUACUACUUCAGACAGUAAAAUGGUCCACACAAAACUGAUUUCUUAAAAAACAAUGUUUUAAGUUGUGUCUUUCAUUAGUUCCCCAAAAGAGCUUUUGUAACAGAAGUUAUUAUUUGAGGGUAGAAAAAUGAUGUGACAUGUUUGUAAAAGACAAACUCUAAGCUAUGUGUGCUUGCACUUUUUCCUAAAUUCAACAAGGAUAAUGAUAUAUGGAGA